UAUAAUCUUCAGGGCAGGGUGUAAUUCCCUACCGGCGGUAAAGCCCGCGAGCCGAAAGGCAUGAUCUGGUGAAAUUCCAGAGCCGACAGUUAUAGUCUGGAUGAGAGAAGAUGGAG
rnacentral:ncRNA from 2 species